AGAACAUAAGAAAGUAUUUGCUGACUGAAGCCAGAGAAAAAAAUAGACCUGAAUUUCUUCAGGGUUGGCAGACUGCUGUAACGAAGUGUAUUCCACAACAGAAAAAUGACAGUGACUGUGGAGUCUUUGUGCUCCAGUACUGCAAGUGCCUCGCCUUAGAGCAGCCUUUCCAGUUUUCACAAGAAGACAUGCCCCGAGUACGGAAGAGGAUUUACAAGGAGCUGUGUGAGUGCCGCCUCAUGGACUGAAACUCAGCAGGGACUCUGGGAAGUCUGACCAAGUUGGAGCAGAUGGUUUGUUACUUGAAUCUCCAAACGCUUAUUUGAAUUUUUACAGAUAUUUCAGAUCAGUGGUGUUGGGCCACUAUUAUUACCUCAGAUUUACUUUUUGCCCUUAUCCAUUUCUCCAGCUACCAUGUACUAUUUUUUAAUGUUCAGUUUGGUUUCAUUUUUAACUUUAUGGAUUCUGUGUGUCCACCCCAUAUUUAAUAUUUAUUAUUCAAGUGCAUGCAUAUAGACAGCAUGCAGUGAAGAGUAUGAAAAAAAAAAAAGCUUAGAAGAUUUGGUGCAGCUUUUGAAACUUAGUUAGAUGUGAACUGAACACAGGUUUAAAAUUUAAUCCCAGAACCUAAUAAAAAUGCAAGAUGUGUUUGGUACAACAUUAUUCUGAGAAUAGUAAAUGUUCCCUGGGGCCUAAAGUGUAGCUAGGAGUGGUUU